CCUCCCCUAGUUUAAGAAGAACGGUGGUCUUGUAAAUCACAGGUGUAGGUGAAGUCUUGCGGGGUGGU